AGCUCUGUAGUAUUAAUAUAAAAACACCAAAAUGCAAAUUUGGAGACGUACCUUUGAGUGCCGGGGCUU
rnacentral:tRNA from 1 species